rnacentral:misc_RNA from 1 species
AACGGUCUAUACCUGCGGUACCUGCGGAGGGAUCAUUACCGAGUUAUACAACUCCCAAACCCACUGUGAACCUUACCUCAGUUGCCUCGGCGGGACCGCCCCGGCCGCCGCGCAAGCGGCGCCGGACUCCAAGGCGCCCGCCGCAGGGACCCAAAACUCUUUUGCAUUACGCCCAACGGCGGGAAUUUUUUCUCUGAGUGCAUAAGCAAAACAAAUGAAUCAAAACUUUCAGCAACGGAU